rnacentral:rRNA from 1 species
CACGUAGGGCGCAAGCGUUGUCCGGAAUUAUUGGGCGUAAAGAGCUCGUAGGCGGUCUGUUGCGUCCGCUGUGAAAACUCGGGGCUUAACCCCGAGCCUGCAGUGGAUACGGGCAGACUAGAGGUAGGUAGGGGAGAAUGGAAUUCCCGGUGUAGCGGUGAAAUGCGCAGAGAUCGGGAGGAACACCGGUGGCGAAGGCGGUUCUCUGGGCCUUACCUGACGCUGAGGAGCGAAAGCGUGGGGAGCGAACAGG